rnacentral:miRNA from 10 species
AGUCAGCCUGUUGUCCUUUGAAGCUUUGAAGGCAGGUAUUGACUUCUCUCUAGCUAGGGAAGUUCUAAGUGGCAUCUCUUCCAAUAUAAGGCUGUUUUAUCUAUUAAAUAUAAGGCUGUUU